AGAAGAAGAAGAAGAAGAAGAAGAAGAAGAAGAAGAAGAAGAAGAAGGAGAAGAUUGAUAAAUGUCCAUGUAAGCAUAAUGUACGCACAGAAGAAGAAGAUAAAAAGAAAGGAGAAAGAGACAAAUCAGAAUACCGGUAGAUAAAUCAAGGGGAAAUCUUUUUGUCAUAUCCUUUGAUGCAGUAUUUGUUAAAAGAUUAAGAUAAUAAAUAAAAUAAAAAUGUACUGGUACUGGUUUCUGUCUGUACUUUGGAAAUUACAUGUAUGUGAUUAACAAACUCCCUAUUGUCAAUAUAUGAUAAGGCCCAACCCACUCAUAUAGUGUUGUGAAGUAGUACCAUGCCUUUUAGCAUGUAAUGUGUGUAGUAACUUCAGUUUACGACCUAUUCUGUUAACCUUGUGUUAAUUGGUAAUGAGUUUUGGUCAAAGUCCAAAGAGACCACAAACACUAGAGUAAAUCGUAGCGUUGUGUUGUAGAUCAUUCUACCGUUACUAUUGUUUUAUGAGGUGAUAAUCCUUGUUUGAAUUUGGAAAUAAUUUGAAAUCAUCAGCUGGGAUUCUUUCAUAUAGAGUGACCAUGAGGUGUCUAGCUGUAAGGUCUAGAAUGAGUUGCUCUGAAAUACUCUAACCAACUUUGCUGUGCCCGUGUGCCGUGCCUAAUUUGGGAUCUAACCUCGCUUGUAGAGGGAAAGGACUUUGAAGCUAUUCUGUAACGUUGUCCACUCCUCCUUGUCCCUUCUGUUGCUAUGCCUGGAAUGCUACGGUCAGCUCUGAACAGGAGCCUUCGUACAGGAAGCGAGAGCAGCGGUGGGGAGCUCAGUCCAGUGAACCACCUGGCAGAAUGGAGAGAGCGAUUGGAACGCUCUUACCAAGAGGACGAUGACGGUUCCCAUUUAAACCGUCAGUCUAACUCACCGGUUAGAAUGCUUGCAUCAAAGCCCAAGGAGCGGGAAAUGUAUGACAGCUCUCCUAACUACAGCCCAUUGCCAGGUAAGAGCUAGGUCUAUGAUAAUAUUUGUAUGAUAAUGAAAAGGAGGAGAUGGAGGAUGAUGAUGAUGAUGAUUAAGGGGGACUGGGG